AAAAAUCGAUGUUUGCGGUCGCGAACUAUUGCGACAAUUGCAAACGAAGGUGUUUUUGUAAACACGGUCGGGACACCGAGCUCACGCGCAUAGUCAGCGCAUACCAGACAAAAAGCAGGCAAAUCAGCAUCUCUACGGCUUUGUAACGGGGCAAGAAUAUCUAGAAACCGGAUGUGAGGAGACGACAUAUAUAGGUCUACUCUGACCUUUCUCUUCGACGUAUACGUACACGUACCAACCGGUUUCUUAGACGAUGACUUACUGAAAGCUCACGUUGGUUCACGUCUUGGGAGUUCGUGUAAUACGUUCAUCGCUGUUGAGUCAUAGUGUCAGGUCGAGAUCGAUCAGUGUCUAGAAUUACUGUAGCUGCAGACAUUGUUCAUUCGUUUUCUGCGUAGAGCGAAAUUUGUUUACCUUGUAUUCGAUCUAGUUUGUAUACAUGGUUGUCUUGGAAAUACACUACGAUUGAACACAA